GUAUUGUCGUUUGAUAAUAGGUCUUUGACUUUGACUUUCCGUUUCAGUUGCAAGUUGGUGUGAAUGCCAGUGAGCUUGAGGACCGAAUCUUCCAACAUUCAGCUGGGUUCAAAGUCUAUCAACUUUUCUAAAUAAAAAUACCAGCUUAUGUUCGUUUUUCGUUUUUGGGUAGGUUCUUUUGAUCAAUAAAGUUCGGGGCUGAUAAAACCGAGAAAGAGAAGUUCCAACGAGAGGAAUGGUUCGGUCACAUGCUACGAUUCAGAAACGAUGCGAUUAUUAUAUUGAGUAUUAUAUGCCUCCAGCUUCCUUUUGAACUGACGUAUGCACAUUGGUAUGAGAUCAUUGGAUCUGAUAUGAUAAAGUUUGGGUUAAUGGCAAUUUACCUAUUUGCCAUUCAAUACUUCACACAAAUUGGGGGGGAGGUGUUAGUGAAGUUAAUAAAGCGUGAAAAAAACGAGAGCUCUGAAUAUAGGGCUAACACUUUGAUUUACAAGGUGGUUGUAUGCAUCUCCACUCUUUCGACUAUAGAUCACAUACCAUGUGAUUCAUCAGCCAACUGUUCCACAUAACAUUUGCAUUCAAGAGUUAUUGGAGUUAGUUGAACAUGAGAGACGGGUCAAGUUCAACCCGACAAGAAAUUCAACGAUGUUUCAUCUCCCGAUUGUUGUUGCAAGCUGGUGUCAAUGCCGGUGAGCUUGAGGACUGAAUCUUCGAACAUUCAGUUCUUUUGAUCAAUAAAGUUCGGGGCUGAUAAACCGAGAAAGAGAAGUUCCAACGAGAGGAAUGGUUCGGUCGCAUGCUACGAUUCAGAAAUGAUGCGAUUAUUAUAUUCAGUAUUAUAUGCCUCCAGCUUCCUUUUGAACUGGCGUAUGCACAUUUGUACGAGAUCAUUGGAUCCGAUAUCAUAAGGUUUGGGUUAACGGCAAUUUACCUAUUUGCCAUUCAAUAUUUCACACAAAUUGGGGGGAAGGUGUCGGUGAAGUUAA